rnacentral:rRNA from 1 species
AGAGUUUGAUCAUGGCUCAGGAUGAACGCUAGCGGCAGGCCUAAUACAUGCAAGUCGAACGGUAACAUUGGUGCUUGCACCAGAUGACGAGUGGCGCACGGGUGCGUAACGCGUAUGCAACCUACUUUUUACUAGAGUAUAGCCCAGAGAAAUUUGGAUUAAUCCUCUAUAACAUCUUUUAAUUUCAUGAUUUUAAGAUUAAAGUUUUAACGGUAAAAGAUGGGCAUGCGUCCUAUUAGUUUGUAGGUGAGGUAACGGCUCACCUAGACUACGAUAGGUAGGGGCCCUGAGAGGGGGAUCCCCCACACUGGUACUGAGACACGGACCAGACUCCUACGGGAGGCAGCAGUAAGGAAUAUUGGACAAUGGACGAAAGUCUGAUCCAGCCAUGCCGCGUGCAGGAUGACAGCCCUACGGGUUGUAAACUGCUUUUAUACAGGAAGAAACACUCCGACGUGUCGGAGCUUGACGGUACUGUAAGAAUAAGGAUCGGCUAACUCCGUGCCAGCAGCCGCGGUAAUACGGAGGAUCCAAGCGUUAUCCGGAAUCAUUGGGUUUAAAGGGUCCGCAGGCUGUUUUUUAAGUCAGAGGUGAAAUCCUACAGCUCAACUGUAGAACUGCCUUUGAUACUGGAAAACUUGAGUUAUUGUGAAGUGGUUANAAUGUGUGGGGUAGCGGUGAAAAUGCAUANAUAUCNCC